rnacentral:lncRNA from 1 species
AACAAGAGAGACGUUCCGGUGGUCAUUAAACGAUAACAAUAGAGACGUUCCGAUGGACAUUAACUCGUUGGCUUUUUUUUGGCUUUUAAAACGUGAAGACAAUCAGAUAGGAUGACAAUCUUAUGUUAUGGAAUACUAUCAGUCAAAUUAACGAAAGUGUAGUAGAUCAUAUUGUUCAAAAUCUGGAAAACAGUAUCUUUUGAAGUUCAUUUUUCAAAGCCCACGUGGUGUUCAGAGAAUCAAGGUCAAAAACGAAAAUAGAAUAUUGUCGACUCGACCUCAAAUAAAUAACAUUUCCAAAUGAUUUAUGUAUCAGACUUAUUGAACAGUUUACAACAAAAAAGAAAAAAGAAAAUCAGAGGAUAUAUCAAUUUUCUGUCAAUGCUUGAGAAAUAAUUGUAUGAUUUAAAUACGCGUAACAGUCUUUAGAGAGAAGAGGGGGGUCAUUUGUUUACAAAUGCACGUAGUUAUGCAAAAUAAAUCGAUCAAGAUUUAUAACAAACCGGA